rnacentral:rRNA from 1 species
UACGAAGGGGGCUAGCGUUGUUCGGAAUUACUGGGCGUAAAGGGCGCGUAGGCGGUCCUGAUCGUCGGAUGUGAAAGGCCUGGGCUCAACCUGGGAACUGCAUCCGAUACGGCGGGACUGGAGUGUGGGAGAGGUUGGUGGAAUUCCCAGUGUAGAGGUGAAAUUCGUAGAUAUUGGGAAGAACACCGGUGGCGAAGGCGGCCAACUGGACCACAACUGACGCUGAGGCGCGAAAGCGUGGGGAGCAAACAGGAUUAGAAACCUUGUAGUCC